AAACGCUUUAUCCAUCAGAAAAUCACAAACCCUGAUGUAGUUGCCACCGUCAUAGAUACUUCUCCGGCCUCCACGAGAAAGAAACAAAACCCUAUUUCUCUUGAUUCAUCACCGACAACAAAAAUGUCAAGUUUUAUUCGAGCUUCACAUUGUGAGAUCUAAUCUAUGUUCAGAUUAGUUUUUCAUAAGGUUCAAGUUCAUCUUCGCCCACUUUCAUCACGGUAAGGCUUGUUCACC
rnacentral:lncRNA from 1 species